rnacentral:rRNA from 1 species
UACGUAGGGGGCAAGCGUUGUCCGGAUUUAUUGGGCGUAAAGGGUGCGUAGGUGGCGCUGUAAGUCGGGUGUGAAAUUUCGGAGCUUAACUCCGAAACUGCAUUCGAUACUGCGGUGCUUGAGGACUGGAGAGGAGACUGGAAUUCAUGGUGUAGCAGUGAAAUGCGUAGAGAUCAUGAGGAAGACCAGUGGCGAAGGCGGGUCUCUGGACAGUAACUGACGCUGAGGAGCGAAAGCGUGGGGAGCGAACAGG